rnacentral:lncRNA from 1 species
AUGAUGACACAAGUUAAUCCCAGCGUUAGGCAGUGCAUAUGUAUGAAAUCUCUUACAGUGGGAUCUCUGGAGUUGGACGUAGCCGGGGGCCCAGAGAGAGUGUGUCCCUCCCCUGCUAAAGCUGUGCCUUCCUUGUGGGACCUGAGAGAAAGCCUGCUACUGGAAUACUACAGAGCCACUAAAAACUUGGUGGCAGUAGAAAAGUAUUUCUUAAUAGAGAAAACUGUUCAUGAUCUCUUGCUAGGUGAAAAGUACCAGCAUUCAUUGCAGUGUGCAGAGAAUCACAUCAUUUUUGUAAAUAACUGUAGUGAGUGUACAUGUGUGUGUGCAUGCGUGUGUGUGUGUAUGUGUGUGAAGUAUAAUGAUAUCAGGAAAUUUUCUUGGACCCACACAUUCCAAAAUUAUGCAGUAAUAAGGUGGUCAUUUGUGCAUGUUGAGAUUAUCUGCUUCUUUUCCUUUGUGUCGUUCUGUAUUUUCUGAGCAGCUGCCCUGCAUUAUGUAUGCACUAAUUUUAUAAUUAGAAAAAAAAAUAAAUUUCUUUUCAAAAGGAUUGAUGGUGUGUUGUUAAACCGGGGUUGUGUCAAAGGAUCUGUUUCUUAGUGUGUUCCACAGAAGUUUCAGGAUGGACCAAGUUUACCAGCCCUAAAAGACCUGUAUGUACCAUUUUGACAGUCACACUCAUUGAGGAAGACAAGGGUCAGCUUGAACAUAAAAAAAAGUCCUAAUUCCGAAACUUCUUAACCCUUUACAGUGAUAUCUUUGAAACAUUUAUAUUAUGAUCUACAAUGAGAAAAAAAUUUAUUUUGUGAGCCAGUUGUACAUAUGCACACACACGGAAAGAAGCUCUUCACAUAAUAUUUUCAUAUAAAAUAUUUACCCUUUCCCCGUGCUACUCUGUCAUUUUUGCUUUAUUAUUUAAAAUACAGGCCAAGACUCACCAUAUUGGUUUUAUGAUCUGCUUAGGAGCUAUACCUCAUGUAUUUGAAAACUCUAGGGCACGCUGGCUGCAGAAGCAGCCCUCCAGAGCCCAGGGCAUGGCGGUGGGAAGGAAGAGGGGAAACUCAUUUCCACAGUAACUCACACUGACCUCCAGGUGUUACUCACUAUGGUUUCAAGGAGGAGGCAAGGGAGGACAAAUAACGUAAAUACUUAUUAUUAUAAUCAUACAGUAUCUUUAUGCCACUUUUAGUACAUGCUCAUUAAUAUCCUGUUACAUUUAGGCAUGCAUCUGUCCUAGAAUAUAAAUUCUGAGGCCUCUCCCCCAUUUGUUUAGUGUGGACAUCACUGUGUUAGAGCCCAAGGUGGUCUUUCAUUCAUCCAGUGUUUAGGGAGCACUUUCUAUGUGCCUGGUACUCUGCUAGGCUUUGGGGAACAAAGGGGCCAUCAAGAGCAUUCUGGUUCCUGCCUUCCUGGUGUGAUGGCAUUUCUCAGGGUAGCCCAACACUGCAUGUUUCUAAACAUGUCUGGAACUUCUGUAUGUGCCUUCAUCUUUCCCUUCCUCCUGUCCCCUGUCUAGUUCCUAUGCUGGCUUGUUAUCUCACUUUGCUUAUUGGAAAUCCUUCCAUCCAUUUAGCCCUGCAUGAGAUCUUCUCUCCCUCUGGACUUCUCAAGGCUCCUGUCUUUUACAUUUGUCAGUCACAUGUGCCUGCCUUGCUCAUUCAAGACAAAGGAAAUCUCUUCCUGUGCCUGCUGUUUCCAUGCUGUCCUAAAGUGCUGUUUUGUGGGUAUGAGCUUGGCCUCUGCUAGGCAAACACCACGGCUUGUUUCCACCCUGCGCAGUGCCUUGGAUAAGGCAGGUGCUCAUGUGCUCUGUAGCUCACCUUUCCCACAUUGCCCUGUGGGGCUCAGCACUGUUUGAUGCUUUGAGCCCAUCUCCAACUGGCUCAUGCUUGCACCUUUAGCUUCAGUUCUAACCUGGCCACCUUCUCGUUCCACCCCUGCCCCUUGGAUUCAGCAGCCUUCUGCACACUCAGGCUUGCUCCAGUCUUAAACAACUCGCAGUGGGACAUGUUGGGAAACAGAGGACAUUCAGCUGGCUGUGACAAGCUUCUGGGAGUGCUGUGUGACAGCUGUAUGGCCUUAGGUAAGUCCGUGGACCACUUGGUCUCUGUCUUCACCUGUGAAUUAGGCAUGGUGGAGAUGCAGCCUCCCGGGGUGGUUGUAGGAACCUGUGUAUUAAUGCAUGUGAAGCACCUGGCACACAGUGGGUAUGGCUGCAGUGAUGGUGGUGACCAUAGAGCAGACACGGGCUGGUGAACCCCGGGCCACCAUCCCCUCCUCCUUGAGUCUUCAGUCCCCUUUGCUGGGAGCACCCUCCUUGGCCCUGAGUGGCUGCUCUAUGAAACAAGCAAGAGUCUCUGGGCAUGGGUGGAGGUUUUGAUGCUUUUCCUUUUGCUGCCAGUUCCAGUCCUGGAACUCGAUCCAGCCCCAUCUCUCAGUUCAGGCACC